AGACUAAAUCUUUUUAAAUUUUAAAAAAUGGAACUGAACCAGAAUAACAGAAUCUUAAAAUAAAAAAGUAAAGACAAUUCAUUGUCAUUUUUAUAGGUCCAUGAGUCCACAGAACUCUGAUUGCUUGCCCGGGUAGCAUGGUCAAGAAUGUCCUUCAAUUCCAAAGGUUGACAGGAUGUCUGCCAGCUCCUCUCCAGCCACCCAUUCUCACAGGGGGUGAGCCAGACCACAUGUGCUAAUCCAGGAGCACAGCUCAGG
rnacentral:lncRNA from 10 species